rnacentral:rRNA from 1 species
GACGAACGCUGGCGGCGCGCCUAACACAUGCAAGUCGAACGGAGCUGAGAGAAGCUUGCUUUUCUUAGCUUAGUGGCGAACGGGUGAGUAACGCGUGAGUAACCUGCCCUGGAGUGGGGGACAACAGUUGGAAACGACUGCUAAUACCGCAUAAGCCCACGAUCCGGCAUCGGAUUGAGGGAAAAGGAUUUAUUCGCUUCAGGAUGGACUCGAGUCCAAUUAGCUAGUUGGUGAGGUAACGGCCCACCAAGGCGACGAUUGGUAGCCGGACUGAGAGGUUGAACGGCCACAUUGGGACUGAGACACGGCCCAGACUCCUACGGGAGGCAGCAGUGGGGGAUAUUGCACAAUGGGGGAAACCCUGAUGCAGCGACGCCGCGUGGAGGAAGAAGGUUUUCGGAUUGUAAACUCCUGUCGUUAGGGACGAUAAUGACGGUACCUAACAAGAAAGCACCGGCUAACUACGU